rnacentral:misc_RNA from 1 species
CCGCUAAACCCGCCAAUGACAGAUGGAUUUACUCCACGCUGUGUUAAAAAUGCUGUCAUCAAACCGCCUGGAGCAAGAACGACAUUGAAGCAUAGGAGAACAUAGGCAAGGCUUGCAGGAAGAACUGGCUGGUGCAUAUAUUCCUUCCACCCAAGUUUGAUAGUUUCCAGACCUCUAUCCACUAUGCUGUUAUCAUCCACAGCUGCUCCAGUCGACUCUCUGCAAAACGUCUGAGAAAAUCUGGUG